AUAUCAAACCGGGGAACAUCCUGGUGCUGGAUAAGUGGCAGAAACCGCUACAAGUGAAGUUGAUUGACUUUGGACUUGCUCGCCAAGGCUUCGACAUACAUCCAGGCUCAGGGGGACAGAGUCUGUUAUACAGGGCUCCAGAGGUCAUGUUGGGUCUCCUUCACAGGCAGCCUAUUGACAUGUGGUCUGUAGGAUUGACUGUGGCAGAGAUGGCUCUGGGCCGCCCCCUGUUACCUGGGAAACACGAGUACGACAUCAUGAAAAACAUUGUGAACAUGUUGGGUGAACCGCCCACGUACCAACUGGACGCUGGACCACGCAGCAUGCGGUAUUUCAAUAUCUGUGGGACAUGGAGA